GAUUGCAGUGAUGUGGAGAGCCGGAGGUGCCCCGGUGGCGCGGGGAUGGAGUCAGGAGAUGCCCAGGAGGAGGAUAUCGCCUCAUCUGCUGCUCCCAACAAGCCCAGGCCACCUGGCAUGGGAGGGCGCGGGCACAGCAGCGUGUGAGUCACCUCGGACACGCAGCUGCUCAGAUCACUGUGAGCCAGACUGUAUACAAGACCGAACAGCUCCUAGUCUUCAACCAGGAGUUGAAGUAAUUUUCAACAGGACGCUCAGCCAAUGUGAAAAGGGACAAAAGCUGUGUGAAGGAGAGGUGUCUGUGUUGGAAGUGUGAUAAUGAAUGGCACAUUGAGAACACAACCAGCUCAUAAUAACUGUAACGACUGGUGUUCCCUGUUCUGCAGGAUGGGGAGGGAGAGUGUCUCCAGUGCAUAGAAGUCAGUUCUUGAG
rnacentral:lncRNA from 1 species